rnacentral:rRNA from 1 species
UAGGGAAUCUUCCGCAAUGGACGCAAGUCUGACGGAGCAACGCCGCGUGAGUGAAGAAGGAUUUCGGAUCGUAAAGCUCUGUUGUUAAGGAAGAACGAGUGUGAGAAUGGAAAGUUCAUGCUGUGACGGUACUUAACCAGAAAGGGACGGCUAACUACGUGCCAGCAGCCGCGGUAAUACGUAGGUCCCGAGCGUUGUCCGGAUUUAUUGGGCGUAAAGCGAGCGCAGGCGGUUAGAUAAGUCUGAAGUUAAAGGCAGUGGCUCAACCAUUGUAGGCUUUGGAAACUGUUUAACUUGAGUGCAGAAGGGGAGAGUGGAAUUCCAUGUGUAGCGGUGAAAUGCGUAGAUAUAUGGAGGAACACCGGUGGCGAAAGCGGCUCUCUGGUCUGUAACUGACGCUGAGGCUCGAAAGCGUGGGGAGCGAACAGG